CAGUAGCUGUUGAUGUGGUAUUACCCUGCUUCAAAGUUCUGUUCCACCUUCACUGCAUUGUUUUGGUUGGUUUUAUGUGGUUUUGUUUUGUUGGGUUUUAUUCCCUUUAAAGUUAAAAAAAAAAAAAAGCAAAAAAUCUUUGGCUGUGUAAAGAAGCAGACUCUAACAGGAAAAUGAUACUCCAGGAUUCCAAGAGGUAAGAGUGUAGUGUCACCAGUCCUCAGAUGUCACAGCUUCCAGCAACUCCCCCCAGGGGGGUUCUGGUCUCAUUUGCAUUUCCAUGACUUGUUGCAUGUCUCCAGGGCUGACCCCUUAAACCAUCUUGUGCACUUCACGCCCUGCAGAACCCGGAUGUGAACACACACAUUGAUCUGUCCUGCAUCUUGAUUCUGGAAGUUCUUCCUUUCUAGGACUCAAUAUUUCCAGUUUUCUUUCUCAAAUUUCUGAUAAACACAUUUAUUUUCCUUCCUGUAUUUUUUCUCUAAACUAACUUUCUGGAAUGCUGUCAAAGUUCUGGAAGUGAGGACAAGAAUACUGGGCCAAGAAUAGGGAGCAGGUCAAGGAGGCAUCCAGGAGAGAAAGAUUUUACACAGCUUGGCCAACAAACAGCGGUCGCCUUGGGAAGCCAACCGAGCCGCCAUGCUGCAUAGGAGGCAGAAACAACCUGAUGCGUGCCAGAGACAGGCAGUAGGGCCCAUGAAGAAAUGUUUUCCGUUUUGUCCCAUGAGUAAUAAAAUAUCACCACAUGAGUCGCAAUCAGUCUGUAACUUUAUCCACGGGAUACUUUGGCCUUUGUUCGCCUUCUUUUUCUGUGCCUGGUCUUUGCCUGGGAAGCCUUGCCGGUUCCACUGGGAGAAAGGUGGAGAAUAAGACCUGCUGGGUCCUAUUUAAGCUUUUAAAGAACAUUCACUCUUUUUUCUUUUCCUACAGACCACAGCCAACUGCUGCUCCUCCCUUUGAAGGAACCCGGCUGUACCUGCUCUUUCAUCUCCUGGAUGGAAAAUGUCUAUCGGCUGGAAACCCUGGACAGGACCGCAUUCGGGCAGCACCCCGGUGGGAAACCUUGUCACUGAGCAAACGCUGCUGAAUGUAACCACACGAACCCAGGUGCAGAGGGCCAUCCCUGCGUGGGACCCCUGAAGCAGUCGGAGGAUGCGCUAGACAUAAAAUAGGUAAGGCUGCGACGGGCCAGCGCAGGACGCUGUUUUACAGAAAAAUUGAUUUUCAUCUGUGGAAGGUGCUCAUGUCAGAAGAGGACCCAGGUCAGGUGUGCUGGUGUAGACCUGUGCUCCCAGCACUCUGGGGGGCUGAGGUGGGAGGAUCACAAGUUUCAGCGCAGCCUGGGCCACACGGUGACUUAGUGAGACCCUGUCUUCAAAGUAAAUAAAACAAAAUAUAAAGUGGUAAAAUAUGAUAAAGUAAAUAAAAUAGCUCAGUGUGAAGGCCCUAAAUUCAGUUCCUAGUACAACAAAAUUAAUUAAUUAAUUUUUUAAAAGAGAAUAAAAUCAAACAAAACAGAACAGCGUGAUACAGGGUUUUAAAACAAGAUAAUAGGAAAUCAACAGUGGCUACCAUAAUGCCUCUUAUCCUCAAAACAGCUGUCUACAUCAUCAGACACAGAAAAAUCCAAUAAAUAAAUGAAAAGUAAUGAGAACCAUCAGCGUGUAGCUUGGUCGUUUAUGAGUCUUGUCAUUGCCCAGGUUCAUGCACUGUGUGGACUUAUCACGCCAUCCGCACACCUGGCAAAGUUUGUUUACAUCAGCGAGGGCAGGAGCAUGCGCAUAUUGUGGGCUCUGUGCAAGGCACAGGAGUCUUCCGGCUCCCUUGUCUUCUUACAGGGCCGUCAUCACAGAUGUGGACUGUUGCUGACCAGUGUGUCACCGUGCGGUUUUACAGGAGAUGCCAGGGAGGCCAGAUGCAGCGAUGCGGAGGAUCGUGGAGCCCCGGGAGCCCCAGAAGUCAGCCAGCUUCUUGGUGAGGUGACAAAGCCCUGUAUCCUCAACUUCCUGGUGAGCCACUUAUGCUCCUGAACUCCUCCAGGGGAGGGGAUCUCCCUAGGUGACCAAACCACAUCUUUGGAAGGCAAAGACCAUUAAAAAUCCCUUCUCAAGAUGAACUAAAACCUGCCAACCUUUAACUUUCCAUCUGCUGGCUGUACCGUUUCCUUCUGGAAAAAUGCAAGUUCAACCCGAUUCCUUUUCUAUAGGGUAAUGGUUUAAAUAUCUGAAGAGUGCUAUCACCAUCCCCUUGUAUGCUCUCUCUCUGUCUCUCUCUGUCUCUCUCUCUCUCAUUUUUCAAGCCCUCUGCUGUCAGGCCAACCUCUUGCAUUGUACGACUAUAUAAUGGAGUUUUUGGGAGAUGAAAUACGUAUCUUUAAGUUUACAUUUAUUAAAUUUCAUUUUAUCAAAUGAAUUACAAUCUCAUCAGCAUUGUAAAAGUAAGCUAAACCAAUCUGAAAUACCUCUUGCACCCUAAAAAUGAGUAAAGAUUAAAAUAAAAUUAGAUAAAAAAUUUUUUGGCAAAGGAGCAGAAAAACAAAGACCCUUGUUUACUGCUGGUGACAAUUAAUCUAUCUGUCAUUUUUGGGAUUCACGUUAGCAUUAUGUAUGCCAACAAUCAUGGUCUGGAAAUUGUAGAGGAUUAAUUGUUUUGGAAAAAGUUUUAGUUAUGAGAACGUUCAUGUCAACAAUGUCCAAAGGAAUAAAAUUAAAAACAAUCUUCUAAUGGUUAAAUAACGUAUAGAAUGCAUGCUGUAGUAUUAAAAUGUGAUGUCCUAGAAAAAAAUUUAAUGAUGUGGAAUUAACUGGAAAAAAUAGACUCUGCAGUAGUGUGGAAUAAAUGAUCUCUGUUCUCUAAAAA